CUGUAUGUGUGUGUGUGUGUGUGUCUCUGUAUGCAUGUGUCUGUAUGAUAUAGACACAUACAUACAGAGACACACACAUACAGACAC